rnacentral:rRNA from 1 species
UACGUAGGGGGCAAGCGUUGUCCGGAUUUAUUGGGCGUAAAGAGCGUGUAGGCGGCUAGGUAGGUCCGUUGUGAAAACUCGAGGCUCAACCUCGAGACGUCGAUGGAAACCAUCUGGCUAGAGUCCGGAAGAGGAGAGUGGAAUUCCUGGUGUAGCGGUGAAAUGCGCAGAUAUCAGGAAGAACACCCGCGGCGAAGGCGGCUCUCUGGGACGUUACUGACGCUGAGACGCGAAAGCGUGGGGAGCAAACAGG